CACAUUUCCCCGCCAUAUCGUACAAUUGGCCGUAAACGUCGGCUGUUUCGAGAAGAUUCGCCGCGUUUGGAGAAGUGAUUAACAUCGGAGCUGCAACAGUUCUUCAGCAUCAUGGAAUUUACCGAAAACUGAAAAGGGACUAAAUCCUCUCAGAGAUACAGAACAGCACGUGAAGUUGGACAAAGAUUAAGACAUACAUGGAUAUAUAUAUAUAUCAAUCACACCAAAGGGCGAGGUGUAUUUGCAAAAGGCUUUAUGUUGAAAGGUUCAUUCAUUCUUGAAUCCAGAGGAAUCUUGUAUAAGCAUUGAUGCUUCAAGCGUUGACAGAUCACUUGGGAGACUAGUGAAUGAUGAGCAGAAACCCAAUGCAAAGAUGAAAAAGAAGUGGAUGGUAUGCCCCAUCUUUUGGCCAUUAUGGAUGGAAGGGAAUUUCGAGAGAUUACUUAUGACUAUGGAGGUGUUGACUUGCCAUGACAUUCCUGCCAUGGACAGGAAAUGCCCAAGCCCAUGGCUCCAGCUACAGUCCAGGACCAAGUCAUCUCUCCCGCUGCCCCUCCUGAAGAGUGGAUAACAGAGGUAAAUGCACAUCUGCAAGAACACCAUGGAUGAAAGCUGAGGUCAACGCUGUGAUGUGACGCUUCAAUCUCAUAUCAUGAAGGGUCACUUGGCAUCUAGAGGGAAUGUGAGG